GAUGAACGCUGGCGGCGUGCUUAACACAUGCAAGUCGAACGGUGAAGGAGAGCUUGCUCUCUGGAUCAGUGGCGAACGGGUGAGUAACACGUGAGCAAUCUGCCCUUGACUCUGGGAUAAGCGCUGGAAACGGCGUCUAAUACUGGAUAUGAGCUGCGACCGCAUGGUCAGUAGUUGGAAAGAAUUUCGGUCAAGGAUGAGCUCGCGGCCUAUCAGCUUGUUGGUGAGGUAAUGGCUCACCAAGGCGUCGACGGGUAGCCGGCCUGAGAGGGUGACCGGCCACACUGGGACUGAGACACGGCCCAGACUCCUACGGGUGGCUG
rnacentral:rRNA from 1 species